UACGAAGGGGGCUAGCGUUGUUCGGAUUUACUGGGGCGUAAAGCGCACGUAGGCGGUUUGUUAAGUCAGGGGUGAAAUCCCGGAGCUCAACUCCCGGAACUGCCUUUGAUACUGGCAAGCUAGAGUCCGGAAGAGGUAAGUGGAACUCCUAAGUGUAGAGGUGGAAUUCGUAGAUAUUAGGAAGAACACCAGUGGCGAAAGGCGGCUUACUGGUCCGGAACUGACGCUGAGGUGCGAAAGCGGUGGGAGCAAACAGG
rnacentral:rRNA from 1 species